rnacentral:rRNA from 2 species
CUUUAUUGGAGAGUUUGAUCCUGGCUCAGGAUGAACGCUGGCGGCGUGCCUAAUACAUGCAAGUCGAGCGAACCGAUUAAGAGCUUGCUCUUAAGAAGUUAGCGGCGGACGGGUGAGUAACACGUAGGUAACCUGCCUAUAAGACUGGGAUAACUCCGGGAAACCGGGGCUAAUACCGGAUAACAUUU